ensembl:lncRNA
CCCAACCCAACCGUGGCUCGCCCUCACCAGACCCCCCCAACCCAACCCUGGCUCGCCCUCACCACACCCGACCCACUCAGGCUCCUCGGAACAUCACGGCCACACAGCAGCCACAUCGCACAACCACACCCCUCCCCGAGAGCCCCGGAGUCACCCUCGCGUUGGCUCUCACCGUGCGUCUGCUCGCACACCCCGCACACUCGCGAGCCGGGCGGCCCGGGCGAGCGCGCGCGCGCUCCUGCCCUCACUCGGGGUCCGCCGAGCCCCCCGAGGCGAGCCCGCGCCCGGUCGGCAGCCCACGGCCGCCGCAAAGCCGACCACCAGUCGGGCGGCUCCCGCGCUUCCCGCGGCGGGGUCCCGGCAGCGCCACCGGCCCGACAGCCCCGGAAGGCGAGCUCAGAGACGUGACCCCCAGGCGCGCCCCGGGCGGGUCCAUAGACUCCCCGCGGCCAGCGGCGCGCGACCGUUAGGUUUCCCCGAGCACGGGCGCUCCCGGCAGGCCUCGCGGCCCGCCCAACUUCCGGCCGGAGCUCCGGCGGCGCUUCCUGUGCGAGGGAGCCGAGAGGCGGCCGGGGGCGCCCGGGUGGCUGAGCUCGUUAGCGCCGCGCGCGCGGGACCACUUGGUGGCUGUGGCCUUGGGGAACUACAUUUCCCAGAAAGCCCCGCGGCCGGGGGGGCGCCCCUCGCUGGGACUCUCGGGCGUUUCCAGCGGCCUGGCGGGACCGUUAGAAGGGGCGAGGCGAGGACGGCCCAGCUUGGCCCCGAGGUUUGCACUUCGGCGCCACAGGUUCCGCCCUCGGCCGACUGGAAGAGCCUCAGAUGAGAAGAGGGGCGGCCUGUGCGAGCUGGGGCCUUGGGGCUGGGCGAGCAAGUGCCCUGAUGGUUUGGGGGGCGUCGUCUGCAACCCAUUCUAACGGGCGUUUCUGUGAGGACGAGAAACGGCUGCUCACUGUGCCUGAGCCGGGCGGUGGUGGCGCCCGCCUUUAGUCCCUGCCCUCGGGAGGCCAGGGGGAUCUCUGUGAGUUCGAGACCAGCCUGGUCUACCAGGGAUAGUUCCAGGACAGCCUCCAAAGCCACACAGAGAAACCCUGUCUUGCCUGAGACUCCUGCCCCUUGUCAGAACUCUGUCCCCGGAAGCCUCCCUGAGGUUUCUGGAAAGGUGAUGGGUCAGGCAAUUGUCUUCUAGUCAUGAGGGUAGCAUUUUAAAGAAGUUUCUUUUCUCAUAAAGUUGGGAGUGGGUUCCUGAAGAGAUGGCUCUGCAGUCAAGAGCACUUGCUGCUGACCUGGGUUCAGUCCUCAACACCCAUCAGAUGGCUCCCCUUCAUCUUGUAACUCCAGUUCCUGAGUGUCUCUCUGAAAUCCAAUGUGUGAAACCAAGAUGUUGUCGAUAAAGAACAGGCAUGUUAGUCAAGUAAUGCUUACCUCUAAAGACAUGCCCACUUGUAUUCACCCUGCAUUUCUUCACUCUACACUGAAAAACUAAUCAUGAGGAUAAACCCUAUGAAUGUAAGACAUGGGAAAAGACUUUUAAUCAGAACUUAGAAUUAAUUCAACACCAGAGAAUUCAUUCUCGUGGAAAACCCUAUGAGAGUAAGGAGUGUGGCAAAGCCUGGAGUCAUGUCUCACUUGUUACUCAACAUCAGCAGACUCACACUGGUGAGAAACCUUAGGAAUGUGAGGAGUGUGGCAGGACUUUUAUUUAUUUAUUUUUAAAGAUUUUAUUUAUUAUGUAUACACUCUUGUGCCUGCAGGCAAGCAGAGGGCACCAAAUCUCAUUCAGGGUGGUUUUGAGCCACCAUGUGGUUGUUGGGAAUUAAACUCAGGACCUCUGGAAGAACAGUCAGUGCUCUUAACCGCUGAGCCAUCAUCUCUCCAGCCCCAUGUGGCAGGACUUUUCGUUGUGGUUGAUAUUUUUCCCAACAUUGAAGGGUUCACACUGGUGAGAAACCCUGUGAAUGUAAAGUCUGUGGGAAAGCCUUUAAAUUCUCAAAUCUUAAUGAUCAUCAAAGAAUUCCCACGGUUGAGAAACCUGACGUUUAUAAAGUCUGUGGGAAAGCCUUUACUCAAAGUUCACAACUUUUCCAGCAUCUGAGAAUGUAUACCUGUGAAAAACCAUUGUGAAUGUAAGGAGUGUGGAAAGGCCUUUACUCAACACUCAAGGCUCAUUCGGCACCAUAGAAUUCACACUGGUGAGAAACCUGAUGAAUGUAAGAUGUGUGGGAAAGCCUUUGGUAAUCACCAGGGAAUUCAUUCUGGUGUGAAACUCUAUGAAUGGAAAGAAUGGAAAGGCCUUUAUUCAGAGCUCAGAACUUGACACUAUUUUGUAGCUGUGUCAUUCUGCUCUCUACUUCUAUAUUCUCGUUGUAUUCACUCUGAGAAUGGAUACCAGUCAUACUGGAUUAAGGUCUCCUAAUGAUCUUAAUGGCUUUAUCCACAAAACCAUAUUUCCAUGAGAAAUCAUAUACACUGCUACCAGGAGUUAAAGCUGCAUCAUAUCUUUUGGGGGAGAGCACUGAAGGUGAGAAUAGUACAGUUCAAAACUAUAAUAUCCUAUCAAUACAAUUUUAUCUAAUGUAUUUGUAAUUUUCUCCCAUAUAUUUGUUAAAUAUAUUUUAAAAUGUGAAUGUAAAGUCUAAAACUCUCUCCUUCCCCCAGAAGAAAAGAUUCUAUCCCCAAACUACAUAAAUGCCCUCUAAGUGCAGUUUCAAUGUUUUUUUUUUCCCUUCCUUUUUCUUUAAAACAUAUUUAAAAGGUUUUUGUUUUGGUUUGAUUUGGUUUUUGGUUUUUCGAGACAGGGUUUCUCUGUAGACCAGGCUGGCCUCAAACUCAUGGGUACAUAGUGGGACCAUGUCUCAAAAAAAGAAAGAAAAAAUUAAAAUGAAUGAAAGAAUUUCUACUUGCUGAUUCCUACAUGUUAUAUUUCUGCAUUAUAUAAAGAAUGACUCUUCCAGUCUACUGCAAGACACUUUCAGAAAGACUAAGAAUACAAUGUACAAGAAAACUUCAUUUGGUCAUAUAUGGAGAAUAAUCAAGUUUAUAUUGAAUUUCCAAUAUAAAUUCCUAGGUUUUUAGUAGUUUUGCCUCCUGAUCUAUCAAGAGAUAUUAAGGACAUUGCUUUAGUAUUCAGUCACAGGAUCAAUAAGAACUACUAUAGACAUGUACACUUACCACAAACUAGGUAGAGAAAACAUAGCUGAUAUGGUAUGGUUCUUAAAACCAGUUGGUUAUAGGAUUAUUUUCUACACAGUUAACAUAUCAAAAGACAUUGAUGUUUAGAGUACAAACUUGGUAACGAGCACUCUAUGAUAUAUAGGUUUGAUAUCCUCAACUCAGGUUCAAUUUAUAUUUACAAUUGUAUAUGGUUUACUGAGGAAUGUGUUAUAAUAUACUUCUAAGUCUCUUCACAUAUAGUUUGUAUAUGUUGUUACCAUACAAGUUUAGAGCUUUUGUGUCAGAAAAAACAUGCUUAUGUUCUGUAAUAUUUCUACUAAAAUUUGCGCCACAAUGAGAGUAGAAAUUUCCUGCUACUAAAGCACUGUAUGUAAACAAAGUAAAAUGAUAAGAUUGGGGAUCUUGAUCCAGGUUUCCCACACAAUUAUUAGGUUCUCAGUCCUGUAGGCAUUUUUCCCUAGCAUGAAUUUCCUGAUGUCUGAGGUUUGGCUUCUGAUAGAAGACUUUGCCGCACUCAUUAUACUCAUAGGAUUUUUUUCUCUAGUGUUUAUUGAGACGUGAUUUCUGGCUAAAACAUUUGCCACAUUCUCUGCAACAAUAAAGUUUUUCUCCUUAAGGUGCAUCUUCCAAUGUACAUUAAGGUAUGACUUUUCACUGCACAAAACCCCUUGUAUGUGUUCUUUGGUGUUCUGUGUGGUGUGACU